rnacentral:rRNA from 1 species
GAUCCUGGCUCAGGGCGAACGCUGGCGGCGUGCCUAACACAUGCAAGUCGAACGUAGAAUUUUAUUUCGGUAGAAUUCUUAGUGGCGAACGGGUGAGUAACGCGUAGGCAACCUGCCCUUUAGACGGGGACAACAUUCCGAAAGGAGUGCUAAUACCGGAUGUGAUCAUCGUGCCGCAUGGCAGGAUGAAGAAAGAUGGCCUCUACAAGUAAGCUAUCGCUAAAGGAUGGGCCUGCGU